UCUAGUUGUGCUUUUCCCCAGCUCUCUGACAUUCAAUGCCUGGAGCUGAUGGGAAACCUGCAAACCCAACUUUUCUCGCCUGUACAGCCUCUGCAUCCAGGAAGUAUGGAUUUGGGGGGCAUUUUUGUGACUUCAGCAUGAGGACUUGGGGAAGAGAAUGCCUUUCACCAAGCGCAAGGAAGGCCAAAAGGGGCAGAAGGUGCACAGGAGGCAGACGACAUCAUGUAAGGGACCUACAGAAAAUCCGUGAGUGCCCAGUAAUGAGUGUGCAAUGAAACGCUCAUCGGAUGGAGCUCCUAGUAAGAGCUCAUGCACAUGUUAUGUGUGUGUGUGUGUGUGUGAAGACCUCACCAUGGGGUUGUCAUUUUUGAUGGGAUCCUUGUAGUGACUGUAGCGUGUAGAUCAGUUCAAAGUCAAAUGCUGGGUGGCCACCCCCACUCCAAGCAAACAUCAACGGUGUGUGCUUGAUCCACGGUGUUGGCGAACUGAAGUGAACGUGAUACUAUUUCAUCACUCUCUUUUGAGCCAGAAGGCUUUGGCUGAACUCUGUCAGUAAGGUUAGACUUAAGAACACUCUGAGUCAGCUUUGCCACUAGGUGGCUAUAUAGGACAGCAAACAGCCAGGCACUACACAACAAAGCCUAAAAGAUCCUGUGGCCAGCCUUUAUCUUGGAGAAAUGGGAACCCAUGUCCUGUGCUGAUUUUUCUAUUUCUUUCUGGAUCCAAAGCAGCAUUGUGAUUUUUCUAACCUGGCAGCUCCUCUCGACUGGAUGGAACCCAGCUGGAGAAAGAAGAGAAGUUGACCAGUACAUCUCUUUUCCUGCACAGGAUGUGUGUUGCUGGGCAGAGAGAGGCGUUUAUAUGCAAGGACAAGGUUUUGUGGGCAGGACAGCAGACAGCAUAGAGUGGGUUGUUUUUUUGCUAAAUCGGUUCCAGUGAGUUGGAGAAGGCAUAGACAAGGUAAUGCGUUAUUGAAUCAGCUUUUGUUGGUAAAGGACUUUCAAGUUUUAAAUGUCACAGACCUCUUUUCUGGGAAAGGGAAAAAGAUGAAAGCUGAGUUUAUAUUUGAUUUCAAAUACAAUUUAAUGGUCCAGGAAGGUACACACAGCAGUAGCCAAGCUUUAGUUUGGAUGUGGCACGUUGCUGCCAGAAAGCUGUCACAUAAGGAGUUAUUCCAAAAACUGCGGUAUAAAUGUAUAAGAUAAUAGUCCCAUUGGGGAUCUAGUAGAGUGAAGAAAGUCAAGACUCACACAGUAGAGGCUGGUGGCUCCGAUGUCAGUAGGGUGGUGGAUCUGUUCUGGGUUUCUGUCAGAACCAGUCAGAACUCUUUGGCAGAUUCACUGCCCACUGACAUCAGAACCAUCAGCCUCAACUGGACUCACACUUUAAAAUUUUGCAUGAGUAAAUGCUAUCUUAUCCAAUAUAUCUUUCUGCAGACAUCACCAUCAUCAUCAUCAUCAUCAUCAUCAUCAUCUUCAUCUUCACCUCAAUUGGGACCUGCAACAAAAUGUUGCAGCAUAUCCCACUUCCUAACAGAAGUGCAGGCCAGCCAUUCCCUCCAAAUUUCAGGAGGUGGGUUCCUCUGUCCCUCCCUUCCUCAGCCCUGCCCUCUGAUGACAUCUCACUCCUUUCUCCAUGUACAGAGAUCGUUGAUCGAAGAUAAGAUAAGAGCUAGAGAAAGGCCCGUGGCUGGAGGUGCCCCAGGGGAUGGGUGGAUUUUGAUCCAUCUGAUCUGUCUUGUGUUUAGCAGAUUAUCAAGUAUCUUUCAUUCCGGCAUUUAUCCAUUGAAGGACGUGGAUUUUUUUUAACCCGAAUUUGGUUCUACUUGCAUUAAUUUGCAAUAACGCAAAUGUACAUUAACCAAUGCUGAUUAGCGUAUAUACAGAUUCACGCAAAUCCUCCCCAAAAGUGAUAAUCCAGUCCAUAAGCCUGCAGAAUCUGUAUGACUCAGAAAAAGACAAUCCCUUGCGGAAUCCACAGGUCAGAGUCAUAUAAAACCAAACAAAUUUGAACCUGUUGCAAAUUUCUCGGACAUCCUUUGGUGCCCUGUCCUUGACCUAGACCAUUUAUUUAUUUACAAGGUAUUUAAAAAACACAACUCUGCUAAUUUCCCAUUGAAUUGAAGUUCAAGGCAGUUUACAAAAAUUAAAAUCCAAUCAAUAACUGAGAAUGCAACCAAAUUAAAAUACCAUGCCAAUACAAAUUAUAAACAUAAACACCCAGAAUCACUUAACAGAUAAACACCCAAGCUGCUCACAAUUAAGGCUUUACAAUAUAAUGCUAUACAUGUCAGCUCCAGUGAACUCAAUGGGUAUUAUUGCCAGGUGUCUGUAUAGCACCCUUCCCCAACCUGGUGCCCUUCAGAUGGAUUGGACUACAACUCCCAGCAUCUUCCUAUCCAGAAGGCAUUAGAUUUGGAAAAUCUGGUGUAUAGGAUACAAACCUCAAUAAACAAAAGAAAGGAAUGUAGUUGUUAGGUGAAUAUGCUUGGGAAAGGCAUUCCACAUUCAGGGCACCACAACUGAAAAUGCCCUGUUGGUAGUAGUCGUCCAUGUAAUCUCUGAUGACAGAAGCAACCACAAUAGAGCCUCAGUUGCUAGUCUGUGUACAGGCUGGUGCAGUUCUUCAGACACCUGAGUCCAAGGCCAAUGUCAUAAGAAAGAAGGAAUGGGAAAUAGGGAAAUAAAAUAAAAAAAGAAAAAAGGAAAGGGGAAAAAAACCCCUAUUUGGUAAUUAUUAAAUAGGAAUCCUUAAAGGACUGAUCAUUGGAGUAACUGGUAAUCUUUGAUAUCUGGCCUGUGAUCAGCUGCUCAAAUACUGAAUGCAAAUUCUAUUCAUAUCAGAAGCCCAAAACAGGUAGAAUUAGGUAGGGUAACCAUAUGGAAAAGAGGGCAGGGCUCCUGUAUCUUUAACAGUUGAAUAGAAAAAGGAAUUUCAUCUAGUGUCAUUUGUAUGCAUGCAGCACCUGAUGAAAUUCCUCCUUCAUCACAACAGUUAAAGCUCCAGGAGUCCUGCCUAGUGUGACCAAAUACAAGAGGGUAGGGCUCCUGCAGCUUUAAUCGUUGUGAAGAAGAGGGAAUUUCACCAGGUGCUGCAUGCAUACAGAUGACACCUGCUGAAAUCCCCUUUUCUAUUCAACUGUUAAAGAUACAGGAGCCCUAUCCUCCUUUCCAUAUGGUCACCCUAAGUAUGAAUUGCAGAUAUUAGAAACAGAAACAAGCAGGAAAAUUAAAAAGAAAAAAACACUUCCGAAAAUGUCUAAUUGGCGUUUGUUUGAUUAAAAAUUGGUCAUGGUCUAAAAUCAGCCGUGAAGAAGCCUUGCUUUCAUCCAUAGAGGGUGGGAGCACUCCCUUCACCUCGCUAGGGUUUCCCCAGGCCCACUCCAACUGCAUCAGUCAUUAUUGUUCCUGCUUUUCUAUCUCAAAUGCUUUUUGACAAUGGGAAGUGUUUGAUUUGUGGCUCAGCAUCAGCAUCAGCACUUCCGUUCUUUGAUGAUAUACAAUAAUACUGACAGUUCCCUUUUCACUUACUGGAAACCUUCUUACUAGCGUGACAUGUUCAUAUGUACCACCUAAACCAAGCACCACUUUGCAGCUGGGCCUACAUGUGUGAUAUGCUCCAACAUUGUAGAAAUGAAUAAACCCAGGUUUUUGCAUCUAAGAACCACCAUCUAUGGCAACGUUCCCUAACCUGGUAGCCUCCAGAUGCAUUGGACUACAAAUCCCAGCCUCCCCCAGCCAGCAUGGGCAUUGCCCAUAAGUGACUUCAUUGGAGUACUGUUGAUUUGGAAAUGGGUAGAACAUGUGUUCCAUACAAGGAGCAAGCUAUGUGCUAGAUAGUAAUGAAAUAGGAAUUCUUAAUAGGACAAUACUAGCACACUCCUAUGCAGAUCUACCCAGAUGACAGUACCAUUGAGAUCAGUGGGACUUACUUUCAGAUCCGUAUAUACAACAUUGAUAUGUAUAUACAGAAUUAUAUAUACAAUUGUCCACAAGUCCAUGGAAUCCGUGCACCUUGGGAAAAGCCAGUCUGAACUCAUUUGAUUCCAUUGCAGAUUUCUCUGACAUCCUCACUAGAUGGCGCUGUCCCAUUCAACUAUAUUAGCUGGUAAGUUUUAAAUUAUAGACCACGUGGUCACUGCUCUCCUCCCAUGUAAUUGAACUCGUUUCAAAUACGGAAGAGAAGCAGGAAGCAAAGUGAUGGUAAGCAAACACGAUUUUCCUUUAAUCGAAAGGGCUUCUCUGUUGCCUUGCAUUUAUGAUGGCGAAGCCUCUGACCCUGAUUGGCUGAGCUGGUGUGAUGGCACAGAAUGCUCACACGCAUUCCAAAUGCUCAGGGAACAAGCUAUCAGGAUGUUUACAGUCCAAUUUCUGGGGUGGGAGGAGCAAUGGUCAGUUUCGGAG